rnacentral:rRNA from 1 species
GACGAACGCUGGCGGCGUGCCUAAUACAUGCAAGUCGAACGCACUCUCGUUUAGAUUGAAGGAGCUUGCUCCUGAUUGAUAAACAUUUGAGUGAGUGGCGGACGGGUGAGUAACACGUGGGUAACCUGCCCUAAAGUGGGGGAUAACAUUUGGAAACAGAUGCUAAUACCGCAUAAAACCUAACACCGCAUGGUGUAGGGUUGAAAGAUGGUUUCGGCUAUCACUUUAGGAUGGACCCGCGGUGCAUUAGUUAGUUGGUGAGGUAAAGGCUCACCAAGACCGUGAUGCAUAGCCGACCUGAGAGGGUAAUCGGCCACACUGGGACUGAGACACGGCCCAGACUCCUACGGGAGGCAGCAGUAGGGAAUCUUCCACAAUGGACGAAAGUCUGAUGGAGCAACGCCGCGUGAGUGAAGAAGGUUUCGGAUCGUAAAACUCUAGUUGUUGGAGAAGAAUGUAUCUGAUAGUAACUGAUCAGGUAGUGACGGUAUCCAACCAGAAAGCCAA